rnacentral:lncRNA from 1 species
CUCACCCCCAGUCCACAUUACCAGUUGGAAUCACGAUGCCCCCCAGGGAAACACUGGCCACCAUGUUGAAAGAGUACAUCAACUAAGAAACACAGCUGAGAUUGACUUUCCGGAACAGAUGGGAUCUGCAUUUAAAUGCUUUCAAUUUAUUUAAGGACGCAAGAGAAGAUAAUAGCAAUAUGAAGUAAGAAUAAGAAAACAUUUGUAAAGAAUAAAAAGAACGAAGUAGAAGAAUUGGGUAUGAAGUAAAGAAGGCAAUAGAUGAAAAGAUCAGUGAAUUUUGAGGAUCAAGUGGGAACUCUGUCAACAUAGGCAAUAGGAAAUGAAUCAAGAAAUAGAGGAAGAGAAAAUAUGAGAGAUGUGCAGGACAAAAGUAGAAGUGUCAACGUCCAGAUAAUAAGCAGCUUAAAAGAGAGGGCAAAAAAUUGGAAGACCUAAGAUUAAAAGGGAUCAGAGAAUGUCAAUCAGGGGAGGUAAAGGAAAAACACAAGCACAUACACACAUUUAAGACCAACAAUAUAAAGAGAAAAUUCUGAAAUUUCCCAAGGGGAAAUGCAGAUCACCUGAAAGGAGAAGGAAUCAGGUUAUCAUGAGAGUUCUCAACCACAUUUAUUUCUGGUUGGAAUGCAAAAGGGCACAGCCAAAGAAUAUACGCACGUCCUCCGUAGUAUGUGGUCUGUGCAUACACAGAAUAUCUGAAAAAGAGAUCCUCUAUGAGGCAACAUGGAGGACUAAAAACUCCAAAGGAUCAGUAUGCCACAAUGUUUUCUGAUCAUAAUACUAUUGUAGAUAUAAAGGGACAUUGAUAACGAACUAAUGGUCAAAUUAUCAUGUAUCUGGACAUUGAGUUGCAUAUUACUAAAUUAUCCAUGGGUUAAAAACUACAAUGGAAAGUAUGAAAUUCUUAAAAUUAGAUUAUUAAAAAAUCCUUACUACACAUCCACAUUUGUGAAAUGACCAAAGCUAUUUCAAAUGACAAGUGAAUGUAUUUUUUAAAAAAUAUCUUUAAAUUCAUUUGUCAGGAAAAGAAGACUCUAAAAAUGAAUGAAAUAAAUGAGUUAAGCAUUCAACUCAAGAGGCUGAACAAGAGAGCAAAAAAAGAAGAAAAAAAUAAACAAACAUGGGGCAGAAAUAAAUAACCUUGAGAAUAUCAGCAAUAACAACUACAGAAGGUUCCAAAGCCAAAUGCUGUUUCCUUGAAAAGAUUAAUAAGAUUGACCCUAACAAGAUUAAUCACUAAAACAAACACACACAAAAAGAAAGAACUAAAUAUAGAACAAAACCCAGACAAUAUUUACCGAUUCCAGAGAGGUUAAAAACAUAAUACAAAACAUAAUAAAUUCACAAUAGCCAAACUAUGGAACCAGCCUAGAUGUCCACCAAUGCAUAAAUGGAUAAAGAAAAUGUGGUAUAUAUACCCAGUGGGGUUUUUAUUCAGCUAUAAAGAAAAAUGAAAUUAUGUCAUUUGCAGGAAAAUGGAUGGAACUUAAGACCAUUAUGUUAAGUAAAAGAAGCCAAGCUCAGAAGGUCAAGGGUCAUAUGUUUUCUCUCAUAUGUGGAAGCAGGAGAGGACAAAGGAAAGCAAGAUGUGAGGGGAA